CGCUGCAGACGACAGGAGGAUCAAAACUCAAAGAAAAAACGUCACGACAGGGAACAAAGGACUUGUGAGCUGUGCCUGUAUGAAAGAGCACAUUAUCGCGGGCUGCGUGUGAAGCAGAUUACCCUUGACUGGUUGCCUGUGAGUCUGGACAGACUGCAGUCCUUGCCUCGCUGGCGCCGACGCAAAGAAGGAGCAUGUCAGCAGCAAGUCUGCUUAAGGCCACUGGGGAUACCGCCAUUGAUUUCCACUUCAAUGACUUGACCUCUGACCUCCAAAAGAGACGUGACGUCCCUCGACUGGCUACUAACACAGCCAGGCCAGAAUGUGGCAGAUGGAAGCAGCCCAGGUGUCAUAACAACCAACUGUAACUGGGCUACAACGGUGACACUGGUUCAUAAAUGUAAUGAUUUAUUAAAAUGCACAAGUUUUAAACCUAAAUCUAAAAUCCUAACAUUUAACUUUGAUUUUACUUUGUGUGGACGCAAAUUCACAUUAAA